UACGGGGGGUGCGAGCGUUGUCCGGAAUCACUGGGCGUAAAGGGCGCGUAGGUGGCGUCGUAAGUCUGUGGUGAAAGCCCGGAGCUCAACUCCGGGUCUGCCGCGGAUACUGCGAGGCUUGAGUGCUGUAGAGGGGGGUAGAAUGCCGGGUGUAGCGGUGGAAUGCGUAGAGAUCCGGCAGAAGACCGGUGGCGAAGGCGGCCCCCUGGGCAGUAACUGACACUGAGGCGCGACAGCGUGGGGAGCAAACAGG
rnacentral:rRNA from 1 species